rnacentral:rRNA from 1 species
GAUGUGAAGUCUCUUGCGGUUGGUUUUCGGACCGACUGCGAGUCCUUUUAAAUGUACUAAACUGUACUUCUCUUUCCUCCAAAAGUGGUGGCAUUGCUGGUUGUGGACGCUGCUAUUGUAGCGAGUUGGCGACCGGUUUGUCUGCUGCGGCGUUAAUGGAGAAAUGCUCGAUUCGUGGUAUGGUUGGCUUCGGCUGAACAAUGCGCUUAUUGGGUGAUUUUCCUGCUGUGGCGUGAUGGACUGGUGAACCAUGGCUCUUUAGCUUGGCAUUUGAAUCGGCUUUGCUGUUGCGAAGUAGAGUGGCGGCUUCGGCUGCCGAGGGUCGAUCCAUUUGGGAAAUGUUGUGUACUUCGGUAUGCAUCUCAAUGGACCUGAUAUCAGGCAAGAUUCCACCCUUCC